CGCGUAGGCGGUUUUUUAAGUUCAGAUGUGUAAUCCCCGAGCUUAACUUGGGAACUGCAUCUGAGACUGGAAGGCUAGAGUACUGGAGAGGGUGGUGGAAUUCCUCGUGUAGCGGUGAAAUGCGUAGAGAUGAGGAGGAACACCAGUGGCGAAGGCGGCCACCUGGACAGUAACUGACGCUGAGGCGCGAAAGUGUGGGUAGCAAACAGGAUUAGAUACCCUGGUAGUCCACGCUGUAAACGAUGAACACUUGGUGUGGAGGGAGUUGACCCCUUCCGUGCCGGAGCUAACGCGUUAAGUGUUCCGCCUGGGGAGUACGGUCGCAAGGCUGAA
rnacentral:rRNA from 1 species